rnacentral:rRNA from 1 species
UGAGUAACCUGCCCUUCACUCUGGGAUAACUCCGGGAAACCGGGCUAAUACUGGAUACGACCUACUCGGGCAUCCGAUGUGGGUGGAAAGAUUUAUCGGUGAGGGAUGGACUCGCGGCCUAUCAGCUUGUUGGUGAGGUAAUGGCUCACCAAGGCGACGACGGGUAGCCGGCCUGAGAGGGCGAUCGGCCACACUGGGACUGAGACACGGCCCGACUCCGUACCGGGACGGGACGACGACGA